GCUGAAUAUUGAAGUCUUCCAGGCAGAGGAGGUUGCUAGUACUGCACAAUAUCUCAGAAGUGUGGACCCACUUGUGUGAGCUCUUCUUCAUCCUGCUGAGGUAGUUCAGUCUCUUCCCUUCAGGCUGCUCUUCACUCCUUUUUGAUGUGAGACGGGACAAAGUACAAUGAUGGCAGGCAGGAACAUCACAUCAGAGCCCAGCAAUAGAAGCCUCCUCCCAAGAUCAGUUUGGAUCAGCUCUGAAACUGGUGCCUGACAAUCCCAAACAAAGGUUGCUGGAGAACCUUAUAUCUUCAACAGACACUGUAACCACUGUACAGCAAAAAUGUGGUGGAGUUGGUGGGAUGAAGUCUACCCAGCUUUCUCCUUUGUUGAAGGCUAGUGUUUUGCCCAAUGAAUACACUGAAGCGGUACCAGCAUAAUGCUUUUUAAUUUUAUUUUUUAAAACAUC
rnacentral:lncRNA from 1 species